AGUUUGAUCCUGGCUCAGAACGAACGCUGGCGGCAUGCCUAACACAUGCAAGUCGAACGAAGGCUUCGGCCUUAGUGGCGCACGGGUGCGUAACGCGUGGGAAUCUGCCCUUGGGUUCGGAAUAACAGCGGGAAACUGCUGCUAAUACCGGAUGAAGACGAAAGUCCAAAGAUUUAUCGCCUGAGGAUGAGCCCGCGUUGGAUUAGGUAGUUGGUGGGGUAAAGGCCUACCAAGGCGACGAUCCAUAGCUGGUCUGAGAGGAUGAUCAGCCACAUUGGGACUGAGACACGGCCCAAACUCCUACGGGAGGCAGCAGUGGGGAAUAUUGGACAAUGGGCGCAAGCCUGAUCCAGCCAUGCCGCGUGAGUGAUGAAGGCCUUAGGGUUGUAAAGCUCUUUCACCGGUGAAGAUAAUGACGGUAACCGGAGAAGAAGCCCCGGCUAACUUCGUGCCAGCAGCCGCGGUAA
rnacentral:rRNA from 1 species